rfam:Triticum aestivum genome assembly, contig: Triticum_aestivum_CS42_TGACv1_scaffold_220605_3B
AUUGUACUCCCUCCGUCCUGAAAUACUUGUCGGAAAAAUGGAUGUAUCUAGAUGUAUUUUUUAGUUCUAGAUACAUCCAAUUUUAUCCAUUUCCGCGACAAGUAAUUCCGGACGGAGGGAUUAUUUU